AUGCUGGGCACUCUGGAGUCAGCAAAGAGACAAAGGUGGAGUCAAUAUGUUAGCUCACUGGUACACGCGUACAAUUGCACUUUCAAUGAGGCAACGGGUUACUCGCCCUAUUUUUUGUUGUUUGGGCGAGAGGCUAGAUUGCCCAUUGAUGUUUGUUUUGGACUUUUUCCCUAUGGGAAGGAAAAUACUACCCACACACAGUAUGUUCAAAAGUUGAAGGCUGAUCUGCAGGAGGCCUACGAACUUGCCUCCGCUGCAGCAUUGAGAAACCAUCAGAAAAACAAAACUUACUAUGAUCGUAGAGUCCGGCACCAGGUUUUAGUUAAAGGGGACAGAGUGUUGGUUAGAAACUUGGGACUCAAAGGGAAACACAAACUUCAAGAUAAGUGGUGUUCCGUACCGCACCUUGUGGUGGAACAAUUGCCUAAUUUGCCUGUAUAUCGUGUGAAACCCGAAAAUGGGUUUGGGCGUGAGAGAACGUUGCACAGAGAUCAUUUGCUCCCAAUCGGAGAGUUUGUUCGGUUUGGUAACUUCAUUGAGAAAGAAGAAGUCUCUCAUAAACCAGUGACAAGGGUUGAACGAGCAAGGAGAGCAUCCACAAAAGCAUCAAGAACAGAGGCUGCUCAGUUACCUCAUGUAUCUGUAGAUUUUUCAGGCAGCUUAUCUAGUUCUGAGGAUGAAAUGUAUUAUGGUGAGUCAGAAAUUUGCCAAGAGAUACUGGAUUCCUUCAGAAAAGAGCCUGAACAUGGUGAUAGCAAGCCGGUAGUGUUGGCGGACGACCUUUUGUCUGUCAGUGAGCAGAGUGAUGUAGAAGAACCACCUGUUGUACCUGAUGAAAUGUUGGGGAACGAUGCUGAGUCUGGCGUAGUUGAAGCAGUGGAGUCAGAGUCUGAAGGGGGAGACGAUCCUGUUUCAUAUGACUCUGGUAAAGCUGAAGAAAGUAGGCAUACUUAUAGACUCAGACGCAGGGUAGAACCCGUCAUUCGGCUCAGUUAUGAUGAGCCAGGAGUACCUACAAACCGGCCUAUUACCUUAGUACAUCGUGGGCUUGUCAUUCGUAUAAGUUACGAAACUCAAGAUGUUAAUUCAUUUGACACAGGUUGUCAAUGUGUACCUGCCCCCUCUCGAUAUAAAUGA
rnacentral:lncRNA from 1 species